CUUGACUUGACGCACCCUCUGCUAGAGCGUAGUGACAUUGCAGAAGUUCUUCAAGGAAAGUCGUCAAAUCCAGGACAUCUUUUAACAGUUACUUUAUUUGCAGUACCCGCACCGGCAACGGAAGCCUGCCAUGGAUACACAGCAGGGCCCUGCGAAAAGUACACAGACUCAAAGCCGUCAUGAAGCCACUAUCAUAUUUGGGGAUUUUAGCAGCUGUCCCCUCGCUGCUGAUUCCCUAUCACUGCUGGACUGACAUCCAACAACAUGUACAGGGCCCAACACAUGCCAAAGGGCACACCUUGGACCUGGUGUGCUGCGCUGAAACAACCCCCUCCCAUCUCCAUUGCAGGGCCCUGUUGUUGGGCUGUUUCUGAUCACCAUUCCGUCCUGUUUUCUGUCCCUGUGCCCUCCCAAAGCAGCCCUCAAAGCAGUCCAUCACAUACAGGAACAGGAAACGUGUGUGUACAUCCAUGCUGGCCAACACUCUAGCGAUCAACCUCACCAUCCAGCCCCAAAACCACACAGUCGACGGCCUGGUGGAGCAUUACAACAUCGCUCUCGCCCUCAGCCUGGGCUCCAUUGCCCCAUUAAUCACAAGAUCUGUCUUUUUUGCCCGCCCCACUCCCUGGUUUACCCCAGAGCUUCCGAGGUUGAAGUCCAUUGGGUGCCGGCUCGAGAGGCUAUACAAAAGACCUGGCCUCACUGUCCUUCGCAAAGCCUACAGAGACCACGUCAAGGAUUACAAAGAGGCUCUCUCCUUGACAAAAACACUCUAUUACUCCAAACACUCUAACACUACUCAAAAACAUCCCAAACAAUAUUUCUCUACCAUCACCCUCCUUCUCAACCUUCCUGAUGCCCCACAACCCUCUGAUGCUGCUGACCUCUGCUCCAGGUUCCUGGAUUUCUUCAAUUUGCUGAUGGAUGGAAACCCUCCAUCAGCAGCUCCGGAUGACCCUGCCCGCCGGCUACAUAAAAUCUGCAGGAUACAAACCACCCAUAUGCCUGCCCUCCACAGUGCUGCUUCUCUACCUUUUCCCUGCUGGAGUCUUUGACCUCAUGACCAAAGCCAGGACUACAUCCAGCAGUCUGGACCUACUGCCAACGACCCUAUUGAAGGCCUGUCUCCCCACCCUCUGCCCUGGGGUGUUAACCAUCAUCAACUAAGCUCUGGCGUUUUACCCUCGAACUUCAUUACGCGACGGCCAGUACCUCUAGCGUCUCUCGCGUGGAACUACAGUUUUCCUAAGUUGGACUACAACAAGCGCUCCCUCAAUCGAUGCGUUCUUGUCGUACUUAGGUCGGACUUGGUCAACGGGAAUAUUUUAGGCCAGUUGAAUCCCAAAUCACAUGUGAAAAAAAGAGGCUCAACUUAUGCUGAUGUUGAAAUUAACUGCCCCCAGUAAUCUUUCUUAAAUGUGAAGUCAUCAUUUUAUUUUCUUACGGUGUAUUUUGUGUGUUUAAUAAUCAGCAAUUAAUUUAUUAAUUUCUAUUCAAAUAAUAUUUUUCUGGAAUUCGUAUCCAUUAUUAUCUAUUGUAUUUUAUUUUCUUCUGCUUUACCGCGUCUCUCAUGCGUCUUCACGUAGAGUAGGUAAACUUCGUCGGAGAGCC
ensembl:lncRNA